GACGAAGGGGGCUAGCGUUGUUCGGAAUUACUGGGCGUAAAGCGCACGUAGGCGGCUUUUCAAGUCAGAUGUGAAAGCCCCGGGCUUAACCCGGGAACCGCAUUUGAUACUGUUGAGCUUGAGACCGGGAGAGGAUAGCGGAAUUCCCAGUGUAGAGGUGAAAUUCGUAGAUAUUGGGAAGAACACCGAUAGCGAAGGCAGCUUGCUAGCCUGUAACUGACGCUGAGGCACGAAAGUAUGGGGAUCAAACAGG
rnacentral:rRNA from 1 species